rnacentral:lncRNA from 1 species
GGGUGGCCUGAGCGGGCUCCUUCCCCUCCCCCAUGUGCACGUCAAACAAAAGAAUCUUCGAACAGUUUUGGGGACAGAACUCUUCGGAAUGUGAGCCUGUCCUCCCCGCCCCCCUUCCUAGGAAGGACAGGGGUCUUUCAACAAAGUUUAGAACAAAGGGCGGAGGCGAAGGAGGCAAGAUGGGUGGUGGGCUCGGAAGCCGGAGUCGAAAGAAGAAUGUUAUAAAAGUCCCUCACUUCCCAGUCCCCGCGCACUCCCAAAUAGCUCAUCAGAGUUUGGGUGGGGACAAAGUGAAUGACCGCCUAGAGUCGGGUUUGGUACCCAUGGCCC